CACCAAUAUACCAAGAGCACCAAGAAGAGAUGCGGCCAAAGCCAAAUACAUCCUUGUGUGAGCUUCGAACAAGUUCGAGAGAUGCAAGAUCACUGUAUCACCUCAAAUAAAAGCAGAGGCUGGAGAAAAAUUGCUGUUCCGUGAUGUUUAGAGAAGUGUCAACCUGUGGAUUAAGAUGCGAGCCGACAGAAUUCUGGCUUACGCGGUCUGCAAGCUCAUUCAUCCACCACACCUUAAAAGUUGCUUUUGUCAGAGGCUCUAUAAAAGGGAAUUAAUUUGGGGAUUAAGGAAAUCGGAGAAGGGAAGAGAACUACCUCUGGUGAAUGCUCUUUAACCCAGACUUUCAGCACCUGACUGGCUACAACAAAGGGUAAUGGUGGUGAUGACGGAUGCUGCUGCUGUCUCUCUGUGUGGCGCACAGUCUGCGCUGCGCCUGUUUUAGUGUCACGGUUCUCAGAGGCUCAGACUGGCUGCUACAUUACCCCCAAAUCUCAAUCAAAGCCCACUGUCAGACCCCAGGCAAACAUAGGAGUGUUUCAUGUGUUUGUAGUGGUCUGAAAAAUUGGUCGGUCAUUCCAGUGGAUACAUAGAGUUAUGAUUACAGGUGUCAGACUAAUGUUUUUCUGUCACACUUCAAAGUGCAAUUUAUAUUUAAAAUUUAGUUUCACACAUAAAUUCACAAGACAGUAAAAUGAUAAUUAUCAUAAUUCGAGAAUGCAUUAAACUGAAUUGAU